rnacentral:rRNA from 1 species
GCAAGACGUUUGUCUAUUGAAUAAUAGAGUAUGGGAUAAUAAAAGAUGAGAGAGGGAAGAUGCACUUCUCUUGUGUGCAAACACAAGGUCUUUCUUUUCUAAUAUUAAUAGGGACAGUUUGGGCAAUUGAUAUUUCCACACGCGCGGUGAUGUGCGUACAGUGUAAAAAGAUCAUCUUGCGCAAACGCUUUUUGCAGAUGUGUUUUUUUUACUCAAAAACAAAUGUUAGGGGAUCGAAUAAGAUCAUACCCCGUCAUACUCUUAACUAUAAACAGUGUCCACAAAAGAUGGGAUUGA